GUACUUCUGUGAAGUCUUAUUGUGGAAUCUUUGUUUCACCAGCUUCUUAUUUGGUUUAAAGGAAGUGCCCACUCGUGGUUGUGUUACUGGUAAAGAAGUGACCUCGUGCGAGCUUCCUGCCAAGCCAGCACCCCUUCCUCCACCUGCCAUAAAGCACAUUCUAGCAUUACAGAUGGAAGAUAAUGUUCUGCACCAGUUCUGCUGUCCGCCUUCGGGGUCUAGUAGUCCAUCCUCAAGAUAACAGCGGAGCUCGGGGUCGCUAAGUGUGCAGGCAGUGCCACAUCUGUAUAGUCCAUCUCUCCUCUCCUCUUACUGGUGUGUAUGGGACUGGCACUUGCAUGGAUGCCCUGGGAGUCUGGUGCGGGUCGAGGCUGAGUUGCUCAGGAUGGCACAGCGAUGCUUGGUCAUCUCCUCUCCUUGCUUUUCUACAGCUCUCUUCCUCCUGCCCACUGUUGAAAACACAACCAAACUGUAACCAAACACAUCAAGUGCACAGUUGAUUUGGAACUGAAAUAAACAGUACC